rnacentral:lncRNA from 1 species
AGAACCUCCAACUACACUUGAGGGAGGAAAGUGCAGGACACCGAGGGGACCUGUGUCUUGUGUUUCAGAUGUAUAGAAACUUGAUACCUCCCUGCAAGCUGAGGGAGCAGGCUCCGGCCUUGGCCAGCCCAGAAAGGGGAUCCCACAAUGCAGCGGUGGGCUGAAGUGUUCCUCAAGUGCCGCCAAAGUGGGAGCCCAGGCAGAGGAGGCGCCGAGAGCGAGUGAGGGCUGUGAGGACUGCCAGCACGCUGUCACCUCUCAACACUGCGGUGCUGAUAAUGACACUUCCUGAUAAUUAGGAAUGUGGAGCCAAGAUGGCCGAAUAGGAACAGCUCCGGUCUACAGCUCCCAGCGUGAGCGACGCAGAAGAUGGGUGAUUUCUGCAUUUCCAUCUGAGGUUUUUCCCAUGGUGUUCCCUUUCCAAUGUCUUUCUGGAAGUCACACAUUGACCACUAACAACAGGAGAGAGGACAAAGAAAGGCAGCAAAAGACUAUUUCCAAUGCGAAAUAUGAUCAGUGUGCCCCAAGGAAGCCAAAAGAUUGGACACCCCUGGAAACUCAUCAGUCAGAGGAGAUGUGAGUGAGAGGCCUCAAGUGACCCUUUCUGGAAAUUCUUCCAUAUGAAAACAUGGGAGGAGGGAGGUUUCCUAUGUAGGAACCACAUGUGCAAAAAUGGCAAAAGAAAGAGAGGAGCAAGAGAUCCGCUUAUGAUAAUCCAACAAAACGAUAACUGGAACAGAAAAGAAAACGACGGCCAAUCAAACCCCUGAGUGACUCCACAUUGUCUUUAAUUCUCCUCUAAUCAAAGAGCAGCACACAGUUGUGAGAGGUGGUCCGAGCCGGGGAGAUUAUGCAGAGAGUGACUCCAUUCAGAGAAAUUUUGGCAUGAUUCCUAACCUCUUAGCCUGAGGGAGAAUUUCUUAAAUUUUAUUUGUGGUUCUCACCUGAGAGAAUUGAUGCCUUCAAGAGAGCACCAGACAGAGGCUAAACAGACAUGCAAUAAAAUUAUCCUCCUUGGAUGGGUCAGGAGCUGGCUGAUAACUUACUCUAAGCCUACAUCAAUCAGGGAGCAGCAGGGGCAUCCACAGUCAAGGAGAGCUGAAGGUGGCAGGGCGUACAGCCGCAGAUCAUCUUAAAUAAAGAUAUAGAAGGCAGACUCUCAUAAAAGAAACCAUAAAUGAAACAAUGAAUAACGACUUCUGUUUAUCAUUCUCUAUUGUUUGCAACUUUCACAAUAAGCGUGUAUUGUUUUCUUAAAUAAAUAGCAAACAAUAAACUCA